GCCUGGGUGGCUCAGUCGACUGAGCAUCUGACUUCAGCUCAGGUCAUGAUCUCACAGUUCGUGAGUUCAAGCCCCACAUCAGGCU
rnacentral:tRNA from 1 species